GUUAGAGCCAGCAAUUUGUAUAGAGAUAUCAAAUUUAAUAGUUUAAAUGUUUAAAAGCCGGAAUGCAAUUGAUUUUAGAAGGUAAAUUCAUAGGGUGGUGGGGUAUCAAAACUCCUCAACGAAUAGUUUUCCACGAGUUAUUGGAAAAUAAUAUCUUAAAUGUACAGAAACAAAAUGUUAAGCAUCAGGAAGGGACAACACAAUCAUAAACACUUGGAGGACCAACCACAAGGCGGAAAUAUUAAGAGUUGCAAGCAUGUCUGACAGAGAAAGGAACUUGAGGGAAUUUAUAGAAUAGAUCUGCUUCAAGGUAGAUAAAUUAUUAGUAUCGAGUAUAUAGGUAUUAAUAAAUUUCAAUUAUGUUAAUGUUAUUUUAGAAUAUUCCUGUAGAACUAGAAGAUUUAACUAGUGCUCUGGAAAAAGCAAGCUAGCGGCCUAGACAUUAGUUUGAUUAUACAGUGUUGUCAUUUUUCUCUCAAGCCUCUGUAUGAAAGGAUUCCAAUUUGAGAAAUGGGGAUUAAACAUGAUUUUACAUUUGUUGGUGAUAUUCUCUAAAUUGCCACAUAUAGGCAUAAAGAUUUGAUUGUUAUUUUUUUGGUUUUUGAUUUAGCAUCUAACCUAUUAUUCUUUGGUAGAGUAAUAUACCAGGCUGAAGCUUGCUUAGAUUUUCACCCAUGCCAAAUUGUAGAGGGUGCCACUACUCUAACUAUCGCCCUAUUUGGAGUCCGACUUAGUUCAUACAACACUUUAAGGCCUCAUCCAAUAAAGACUUUGGAAUACCAGAAUCAACAAUCUUUGUCCUAACUUUAUCCAGUAAAGUUGUAACAUACUGUAAAAGGUUUUUACCAGCUUCAUAUUUAGUUUUUAAUGUUUUUAUCAUUAGGAGAUGAGAAUAAUUAUUUAAUAUAGUUGGAAAGUACUUUUUUCAGCGUAGUUAAACGUAAGUUCGAAGUUAAAGGUCGUUGGUGGGUUUUUUGCUUUUGUAACGUGGUGAGUCUUUGGUUCUUUGAUAUGUCGUUUUCUUUAUAUGUGCCUGACCAUUUUCCCAACUGUUAAAUUUGUCUGUUUUUCUUUUUGAAUGCCGUUGAGCAGACUAUUCCCUACAGAAUCGAAUUGGGUUGCAUUUUUGUUGGGUCUUUGUCGUUUCCGGUUAUUUUAGUUAUUAAUUAGUGACUCUUCUAGGCAUAAGUUUCCUUUGUUUUACUAUUUUAAUCUGUGCAGCCUUUACUUUAAUGGCUAACACGUGGUUCUCUGUUUGUGCAAGGGGUACUGUGCCCCCUCUGCUGUUAGAGUUUAAUUGAUGUAUGUAUUGACAAGCCCAGUGUAUUUUUCUUAUUUUUGUGAUAGAGUGUUUCCCUUUUACAUUUUAGUGUCCUGAGAAAGCCUAAAUAAUUGGGCGAAAGCUGGACUUAACAAUAAAAAGAGCAAUGAGCAUUUACAUCUUUUAUUGCUCCCUCUAUAUUAGUCAAUAUUGGGCGAUCCCACAGUUAUUUUGUGCAACAAGUUACCAGUAGCCCCUUACUGUAUUUACUCUUUGCUUCUAGGAGUAAGAAUGGGAUAAUUCUAUCGGAGGAUUGGAAUCACAUAUGGCACUGACGUCGUGACUCCCAGAUACCUACAAGAUGGCACACAACAAUUGUGGCGCAUACUUCAACGACUGAACAACACUAACCAUAGACAACUUGAAUUUCUAGCACAAAAGGAGUAAGAAUGGGAUAAUUCUAUCGUAGGAUUGGAAUCACAUAUGGCACUGACGUCGUGCCUCCCAGAUAUCUACAAGAUGGCACACAACAACUGUGGCGCAUACCUUCACAACUGAACACAAAAGGAGUAAGAAUGGGAUAAUUCUAUCGUAGGAUUGGAAUCACAUAUGGCACUGACGUCGUGCCUCCCAGAUAUCUACAAAAAGGCACACAACAACUGUGGCGCAUACCUUCACAACUGAACACAAAAGGAGUAAGAAUGGGAUAAUUCUAUCGGAGGAAUGGAAUCACAUAUGGCACUGACGUCGUGACUCCCAGAUACCUACAAGAUGGCACACAACACUUGUGGCGCAUACUUCAACGACUGAACAACACUAACCAUAGACAACUUGAAUUUCUAGCACAAAAGGAGUAAGAAUGGGAUAAUUCUAUCGUAGGAUUGGAAUCACAUAUGGCACUGACGUCGUGCCUCCCAGAUAUCUACAAAAAGGCACACAACAACUGUGGCGCAUACCUUCACAACUGAACACAAAAGGAGUAAGAAUGGGAUAAUUCUAUCGGAGGAAUGGAAUCACAUAUGGCACUGACGUCGUGACUCCCAGAUACCUACAAGAUGGCACACAACACUUGUGGCGCAUACUUCAACGACUGAACAACACUAACCAUAGACAACUUGAAUUUCUAGCACAAAAGGAGUAAGAAUGGGAUAAUUCUAUCGUAGGAUUGGAAUCACAUAUGGCACUGACGUCGUGCCUCCCAGAUAUCUACAAGAUGGCACACAACUGUGGCGCAUACCUCAACAACUUAACAACACUAACCAUAGACAACGUGAAUUUCUAACACAAAAGAUUUGGCAUCUACAUGUAGCAUCGUGUUGUGUUUUUUCGAACAUACUUUACAUCGCUGAGAAGUGCAAUCUGUAGUGAUAAUCUCGAAGCUACCGGUAACGCUAAGAAUUUUUCGCACCGAUAUAUUCCAUGCGAAUCUUUACAAAAGAGGCUUUGAUUGCGUUGUUGAAUAUGAUUGAACUUUUUUGUUUCUCUCCCCAGAAAGUUUGUUUUGUUUGAUCAGAUGUUUUUUGUAACUUGUUUUCAACCUUUACGUUAAAUUCAGUGGUUUCCAAAAGUUUGCAUCGAUCGUUUAAAAAUUGCAAAAACUCUUCCAAGGUGGGACUUGUCAACCUUUUGUUAAUGAUAAAUUCCUCCCCAAGAUUGGAUGUUCUCUGAUCAACCUUGUUGAUUAUUAAAUAGAUUAAUAAAGGAUCCCAGUGCUUAACUGGCUCUUUUAAUACUCUAAAGCGCGGUACCGUUUUUGAAAUUCAUCGACAAGCUUUCUGAGACUAACUUUGUCCUUGGAAACCAUUGGUAAAUUAAAUAAACCUUUGAUGUUAUUUUUAAUUGCUAACGUUUUGUUUUCAUAACGCUCAGUUAAUAAUUUCCACGCUAUCAGGUAGUUGUCGUUUGUUACUUGAAUGGAUUCCAAAAUUUCUGAGGCAUCACCCUUUAAACAUCCUACCCGGUACAUGAAUGCUGACUCUAGCACCUUUUUGCGACUUCUUGCCAGAGAGACUUAUCGAACUGUUUGGACCAGUCUGGAUCGGCAUCGGAUCAAAACAUUCCAGGGGCCGGCGGCCUACGAUGGACUCGCGAAGCCGGGUCACGCGCCUACUAUGUUGCGUUGUAAUACCGAACAUCUACAAAUGGGGUUAUUCAAGUUUGUGUUUCAAUAUCCUUCGUUGAUUGUUAGACGCAGGAAGGGGGAGAAGUUUGGCUUUUGAGAGUCAGUUUACUUUUCACGUUCAAGUGUAGAGCAUCUGCCAAGACAAGCAGCAGAAAGAAAACAAAGAGUCUAUGAUGGAGGUAAUAGCUAUUGACGAACACACUUAGGCGGGUAUCACGUGUUUCUAUAGGCUAUAAAAAGCAACAAUGGAUGAUGUAAAUCCCAGAGUAGACCCAAUUGCUGGUUCCUACAGGUAAAAAUGGGUAAUGAGUAAACGUACUUUUAACAGAUUUUAUAUAGGUGUCCGUUUUUCUCCACCUCAUCCUGGUCCUAAAAAUUUGAAUUUUUAAAAGCAAUUAGUUUGCGGUCAUCGAAUUAAUUUUGUAGUCAAUCUUUGAAAAUGAUAAGUGGGAUCUUGGCGAAACGUCUCCGAGACCCCAAUCGGAUAUCAACAAAGGAACGGAUAAAAUGAAUAUUUAUAAGAGGAUAGAGUUCAGUCAUCGGUUAAAUUAAAUGUGCAGGUGCUGCAAUAAAGUCCGCUGUUCGUAAUACACAGUUCACCACCAAAUCAAUGAUUGCAUUGCAUUAUUUGCAUUAACGUCUUCUUCCUUUGCAACAAACGCGAAACCUUUAAUUAGCACUUCGGUUAUUCUGAAUUCUCUUGACUUGUUGUUGCGACAAAAUCUUAAAUCACGUCAGGAAGAACCGCCUUUGGCAUAUUUGUGAUUGCGGUACAGUUACUUUUAUAGCUGCGCGUGCUAUAUCACCUUUACAGCAUUACAAGGAGUAGUUGUUGAGCAUUGCAAGGAGUAGUUGUUGAGCGCUUGUCACUUUUUCUCACUCGAAAAAAAUAUGUAAUACGGCAUAUAUGUGGUGACGAGGUGAAAGUUUUGCUAGGGCUGGAUUUUGGAGGUGGAGGCCUUGGGUACAUCACUAGGAAUAAUGAUUUAUCAAAUAAUAUGAAAUUGUAGAUCAUAACAUUUUCUUCAAAAUUCUAAAAGUUGAACUAGUUACAUUCUACAUUAUCCACUCAUUUUUAUACCACUUAUGAAUUAAUGUACUUGUUGAAUUUUAUAGAAAAAUAUUGUCUUGAUUAUUGUUAUUAAUGCAGUUCUGAUUUUUGUUAAUAAUUUAAUCCGAUUCAAACUCUUCAAAGUCGAUUUGAACAGUCUUGCCUUCUUCGAAUUGUUACAGAUUUUUCGACUGUCAGAUGAUGAGCGACUUUAUCUCCUUUUUCGAUCAAAGAUUUAAACUAAUAACUGUAGAAGUUUUACCUUCUAUCAUAGGUGUAUUGCAAAUUGUAACAUUUUUGCAAGAUAUGCAAAGUUCUAAACUAUCAUUUCUAAUGUUAAGAAUUUUGAAGUACCUGAUUUUUGUUGUAAAUAAAUACAAACAAAUUAUUAACAUUAUUCGGUUCCGAUAAAUGUUCUCUAUAAUUAUAUUUGGCUGAGUCAAGGUAACGCCUCUUAUUGCUGUUAUUAUAUAUUUUGUGGACUAGGAAUAUUAAAUUGGCAUAGGAGUAGGAGACGCUUAUCCAAGCGGGCAAUCCAUGUUUCUGUCGAAGUUGGUGUUUACUCGUUUAGAAUCCAAAUUUUCAUGAGCAAUAUUGUGACCCAUAGAAACGAGCAGUAGUCACUGGAAGCGAGAUGUGAUCCGAACUCCUGAAGUUUCUGGCUCGUUAUUUAUCAUGUUUGUGGCUUGGUGUUGUCCCCACUGUCGUUAUAAUAAACAGUAAUUUAUAAUAGAGCCUAUGAUAAAGGUAAAAGCUAUUGACGAACACACUCUGGCAGGUAUUUAUGUUACUGAAGAUGGCAAACUUUAAAUUGUUGGUUUCUGCAGGUAAAAAUGAGUACUUUUGACGAUUUGUACAUAAUUGCCCGUUCUUCUCUACUUCUAUAGUCUGGUCCUAAAUAAAAUCUUCAAGUAUAGAUACAUAGAAACGAGCAGAUAGUAGUCACUGGAACCGAGAUGUGGAUUUACAACGAACACACUCUAGCAGCGGCGCAGUCAAAAUAAGAGUAGCGACAAAUCUAUCGGCGAAGUAGUCCAACUUUCGUCACGAACGAAAAGAGUUACAGCCAACAUUUUAUGAUGUUCAAUAUUAAAUUUUCAUAGGAAAAGCGAUAUUGUUGCCCCUAGUCACUGGAAGUAAGAUGUGGAUGUGCAAGAAACUCCCAUUCAAACAACUGAAGUUUCUGGCGAGUCAUUGUUGAUGUUGUUGAC